AUUGAACGCUGGCGGCAUGCCUUACACAUGCAAGUCGAACGGCAGCACGGGAGCAAUCCUGGUGGCGAGUGGCGAACGGGUGAGUAAUAUAUCGGAACGUGCCCAGUCGUGGGGGAUAACGUAGCGAAAGCUACGCUAAUACCGCAUACGAUCUAUGGAUGAAAGCGGGGGAUCGCAAGACCUCGCGCGAUUGGAGCGGCCGAUAUCAGAUUAGGUAGUUGGUGAGGUAAAGGCUCACCAAGCCGACGAUCUGUAGCUGGUCUGAGAGGACGACCAGCCACACUGGGACUGAGACACGGCCCAGACUCCUACGGGAGGCAGCAGUGGGGGAAUUUUUGGGACAAUGGCGCAAGCCUGAUCCAGCAAUGCCGCGUGCAGGAUGAAGGCC
rnacentral:rRNA from 1 species